rnacentral:rRNA from 1 species
AUGGCAUGGAGAUUAGUCACUAUAUGCAAAAGGAAAACGGAGAACGCCUCCAACACGAUAGCCAUGGGUGCCCGACCCGGAUUUCACAUAUUCUUCGGUGUCAUAAAAAGGAAACCUCGACCGGAUCACAUCGCAACUUCUGAAGACAAACAGUCCAAUGUCGCCUCCGCCAACUUCGCGGGAAGACCAUCCACCGUUGCCUCCGCCGACUUUGCCGGAAGACCAUCAGUUGUCAUCUCCGCCUACUUCGCCGCAGGUAUCUUUUUUUUUGCAAAUUAUGAUGCAACUAUUUUUGAUUUACAACCAGAGCCUAUGGUUAUAGGAUGA